rnacentral:rRNA from 1 species
GGCGUCCGGGUGAGUAACGCGUAGGUAAUCUACCUUCGGGUGGGGAAUAACCCAGGGAAACUUGGGCUAAUACCGCAUAAUGCAGCGGCUCGACAUCGAGACAGUUGUUAAAGCAGCAAUGCGCCUGAAGAGGAGCCUGCGUCUGAUUAGCUACUUGGUGAGGUAAUGGCUCACCAAGGCUACGAUCAGUAGCUGGUCUGAGAGGACGGACAGCCACAAUGGCACUGAAACACGGGCCAUACUCCUACGGGAGGCAGCAGUGGGGAAUUUUGCGCAAUGGGCGAAAGCCUGACGCAGAAACGACGCGUGAAGGAUGAAAUCCUUCGGGAUGUAAACUUCGCAAGUAUGGGAAGAAAUAAAUGACGGUACCAUACGUAAGACCCGGCUAACUCCGUGCCAGCAGCCGCGGUAAUACGGGGGGGGCAAGCGUAGUACGGAAUUACUGGGCGUAAAGCGCGUGAAGGCGGCU